ensembl:ncRNA F58A4.19 ncRNA
GCCGGUGCUCUCAUGGCAUGCACUGGAGCCGGUCCUGCUGAAAAUAUAAAACAAUAAAAACUCUUUAAAAGUAAAGAAAGUUAGGGUAGUAUUGAUCUUCAGAACGAGAAGUAUGAGAAGUAUACUUUAACUUCUUUUCUAUUUAAGUCUAAUGUUUUCCUUACCUUCGUUGGAUUUUCCCUGAAAUGUACACACGAAUGGAAGUUUCUGACCGACUGGAACAGU